rnacentral:rRNA from 1 species
UAAGGAAUAUUGGUCAAUGGGGGCAACCCUGAACCAGCCAUGCCGCGUGCAGGAAGACGGCCCUACGGGUUGUAAACUGCUUUUAUACGGGAAUAAUUCCCUGCUCGUGAGCAGGGUUGAAUGUACUGUAAGAAUAAGGAUCGGCUAACUCCGUGCCAGCAGCCGCGGUAAUACGGAGGAUCCAAGCGUUAUCCGGAUUUAUUGGGUUUAAAGGGUGCGUAGGCGGCUUUUUAAGUCAGGGGUGAAAGACGGUGGCUCAACCAUCGCAGUGCCUUUGAUACUGAAGAGCUAGAUUACACUAGAGGUAGGCGGAAUGUGACAAGUAGCGGUGAAAUGCAUAGAUAUGUCACAGAACACCGAUUGCGAAGGCAGCUUACUAUGGUGUCAAUGACGCUGAGGCACGAAAGCGUGGGGAUCAAACAG